rnacentral:rRNA from 1 species
UGAACGCUGGCGGCAUGCCUAACACAUGCAAGUCGAACGGAAACGAUGGGAGCUUGCUCCCAGGCGUCGAGUGGCGGACGGGUGAGUAAUACUUAGGAAUCUGCCCAUUAGUGGGGGACAACAUUCGGAAACGGAUGCUAAUACCGCAUACGCCCUACGGGGGAAAGCGGGGGAUCUUCGGACCUCGCGCUAAUGGAUGAGCCUAAGUCGGAUUAGCUUGUUGGUGAGGUAAUGGCUCACCAAGGCGACGAUCCGUAGCUGGUCUGAGAGGACGAUCAGCCACACUGGGACUGAGACACGGCCCAGACUCCUACGGGAGGCAGCAGUGGGGAAUAUUGCACAAUGGGCGCAAGCCUGAUGCAGCAAUGCCGCGUGUGUGAAGAAGGCCUGCGGGUUGUAAAGCACUUUCAGUAGAGAAGAAAAGCCUAGGGUUAAUAACCCUGAGUCUUGACGUAACCUACAGAAGAAGCACCGGCUAACUCC